UCAGGGUAUGUUAAUAGACAAGACCUAAAAAUGCAUUAAAUGUAGGUGAAGGGAAAAAUCAAGCCUUAAACCCAGGUGGGGGGAACCCACAGUAAGCGGAUAACAACCACAUGAACGAAAAAAGACCCAAACAGACUAGUUCUUAAUAGUUACAAGGGUAAGAUUUAAACCUAUUAAUUAGCUUUAUUAAAGCGGCAGAUAAAUAAAAAAGAAACUUCAAAUAAACACCAAGUUAAGUGGUGCAUGUGAAAACAUAUACCCAGUGCAGUGAUAGCAAAACCCACUGUUUUACCCUAGAAAGAGCGAGG